GGGAGAUCCGGCCGGAGAUUGGGAGAGAGGAAAUUCCGGCGCUCCGGCAUGUGAUCGGGCUUGCGCAGAGGGGCUGGCGGUUUUCGGACUCAGCCCAGUCGGCGGGUCUUAGCUUUGGAAACAGGCGGUGUCCAUGGGAUCAGCCAACCUGAAUUCAGAAAUGGAAGUAUUGUGAAGAUGCCAGAGUCCCCCCUCCCAGCCCUGGAACACUGAGCUCUGCAAAAUGAGAAAAAUAAAAACAUGUCUUGUUAAGGCC